AGGUCUCCAUACCCUGUCCGGUAUGAGAGACCAUGUUCUCGGUAGGGUUUCCUACAAACCUGGUCCAUCUACCAUCUACCAUCUCCCAGGAUAUCUAGUCAGGCUGUACACAUUUUUCACGUAUCAAUUCACAUAACCUUUUUGCCUUUUUCCUUAAUCUCAAUCAUCCAAUCAUACAAAAUAUGUAAACCAGUAAUUGACACUAAAUAAGACAACACAGUACCGGGUUCACCAUAAUACAAACCAUAAUGAAAGGAACCAUAGUUCAUG
rnacentral:lncRNA from 1 species